UGGGGAAUUUUCCGCAAUGGGCGCAAGCCUGACGGAGCAAGACCGCGUGGGGGAGGAAGGCUCUUGGGUUGUAAACCCCUUUUCUCAGGGAAGAAGUUCUGACGGUACCUGAGGAAUCAGCCUCGGCUAACUCCGUGCCAGCAGCCGCGGUAAUACGGAGGAGGCAAGCGUUAUCCGGAAUUAUUGGGCGUAAAGCGUCCGUAGGUGGUGGGGCAAGUCGGCGGUUAAAGACUGGGGCUUAACUCCAGAAAGGCCGUGGAAACUGCACCACUAGAGGGCAGUAGGGGUAGAGGGAAUUCCCGGUGUAGCGGUGAAAUGCGUAGAGAUCGGGAAGAACACCAGUGGCGAAAGCGCUCUACUGGACUGCAACUGACACUCAGGGACGAAAGCUAGGGGAGCGAAUGGG
rnacentral:rRNA from 1 species